rnacentral:misc_RNA from 1 species
GAUGCACCUCCAUAUCCUUGAAAGCCAGCACACCCGCACACCAUAGAAGCACCCCCCCCCAUACACACACACUCACACAGAGCGCUGCUGCACGUUGCUUCACACGCUUUUCUCUACCCAUACGUGGCACUGACGCGCCAGCACAAGCGACUGCACAGGCACAUGCCCGCACGUAGUCGCACUCACGCGUAUCCCUCUGCCGCUUCCCUUUUGUCUUGCUCCUCCUCAAAGUUGCGAUCUCGUUGAUCUCUCUCUCUCUCGUGCGCCUAUUUGUUUGUCUACCACUCUGUCACCGUCGUCCUCACAGUUUGUGCGGCACAGGAGUCACACACGCCCUCUCUUUGGUCAUCUAUUGGAGUGAGCACCUGCAGCACCGACUAUGAACGCCGCCGUCGCUGUGUAGGCAUGCUACAUGAAGUGUACGCUCCUCGCACCGUGGCGGAUGUGGCGUGGAGCCGGCAGAAGAUCGUGACACUGUCCACUGUAAUCCAGCAGGCACGCGGCAGAGGCAAGGCUUUGUCGAGUGCAGCACCACACAUUGUCCUCCUCUACGGACCUCCUGGCUGCGGCAAGCUUGAAACCUUAAAGGUACUACUGUGCGAGGAUGCUGCACUGGUGGAUGCUCCUGUGCUCGCAACCCACAGCACGUCUCACGCUGGCCCAGGUGCAACAUUGCAGUUGGCUCAGUGCCAUAGCACGUCCUUUCACAUCUUUCACACGUGCGAGGCCACCGUACCUGCUUAUGCGCAGUACUUGAAUAGCGUCGUUUCCUAUUGUCGAGGCCAGCUGGGUGGCGGCGAGCUGCAGCUGCCGUCUCUCACCGAAUCACCGGCAAGCUGCAUGAGCAGCGGCGGCCGCAGCAGCUCUGCGGGUAGCCGCGCUGGCACCAUGGCAGGAAGCGCAGGCUCGACAGAGUUGUCGACAAAUCAUGCGCACAUCAUCAAGUUCUACGGUGAGCCCGCAUCCCACGCGCUGCAUCGUUGCACGCUCUUGUUCCUCAGAGAGUACGAGGAGCUGCGUGCCAUGGCACAGCACGAAGAGCAGGAGCAGGGACCACUCCUUUCGUCCGGCACACGUGUGGGCAGGCGAUUUUGUCUGAUGCAGCAUCUUCGCCGCAACCUCAUCUUUUUCCUUCACACCACGCACGACACACACAACGAUAAGCUCGACCUGAGCACAUCUUUCCCAUCCACGCUGCUCCAAAGCCCUGCGGUGGAGCUGUUCCAUUGCACACCGAUAACGGAGAUCAACCUGCGCAAGCGACUGCAGAGCAUUUUGGAUGUAGAGGUGCAGCGGCAUGCGCAGAAGCGGCGGUGGGCAGCGAGCACGGCCGCGAUGAGCUGUUUUGACAAUUCUCUGUCUUCAUCGUCCACCGUGCCACCGUCUGCGUCUCUCACGAGCGCUCGGCGUACCACAAAGGCGAAGCGGAAGGCGUCUACACCCACAUCUGCGGCUGCGAUCGCGACUGCAACUGCUUGCACUGCAUCCUCUAGUAUUGAUCUCAUAGACCCAGAGACGUUGAACGCCAUCGUGGCGGGCAGCCAGGGCGACAUCCGCCAAGCCCUCCUGCAAGUACAGUGGUUGUGCCUAAUGCCUGCGUCGAACUCACUAGUCCCGGCGGCACACCAGAGUGGCGAGUCAGUCGAAGGAGCAUGGAGCCAGGCAGCGCAAGCUGCCGCGACGAUCUGGAUGAGGCUGGAAAAGCAGCGAUUGGCGGCCCGCCAGGGUGUUGUGGCAGCCAGCGCCGGCGUCGCUGACGCUCGCGUGCUCUCGCUGAGUGGUACCACGGACGUCGGACUGAGCAUCUACGCCUCGCAUUCGACGCCGUGUGUAUCUCCCGCUAAACCGGCUUCGAAAGCAUCCGGAGUAGUGCACCGGGAAGGCAAGGAUGAAGACGGCGAGAUCGACAGCGAGCGUGAGAGUGACGUUGUAGAGGAGGUAAGCUCUAAGGGCUCUGGCGAAACGGUCCACAUAUUUUCUUCCGCCGAAUUCACCAGUUUUCCUGAACCACAGACAUCCCGCAAUGGCGACGACAAAACGCAUGCCAAGGUAGGUGGUGCAGCCUCCCGCAAACGGCCCCGCCAGCCGUCGUCACCGCCCGCAGUGAACAUGCUGUCAUUGCUUGAUUCGCAGAUGGAGCGCAUGCAGGCAAUGGCCGAUGUGGAUGGCCAAAGAAGACGCGGCCCAAAAAGCAGGGCGGGCCGCUUUGCACAUCGAGGCGCGGCACCUCCGGCGUCUGCCACUGGGUCGCAGCAACGCAGCGUCCUUCCGAUGACGAGGGACGAGUACCUCGGCCUCUCUCACGCCAUCGGCCGGUUACUCACACAGAAGUACUGCAUCGAUGAGGUGCUGGGCACUUUAAAUGUGCCACCGCGCAAGAUACUGGACUACCUGACGAACAACCAAAUUCGCUACUUUGGCGAUGAUCAGCUGCCUCAGUACGCACGCUGCAUCGACGCCGCGAGUGACGCAGACGCGUUGCGGGCCUCGGAGCUGAGUGGUAGCUUCGCUGGCGUGCCGAACGCCGCUGCGCUGCGUGAGCGCCGUCAGCUGGCCGACCGCACCACCGCUGGCGAGAACCUCGGCAACAUGGGACGAUUACUGGAGUCCAUUGCGCUUCAGCUAUUUCACCUCACGUACCGCGCGAUUCAGACCGAGGUGCGCCCGCCGCCAGGCUUCGUCGCUCAGGAGCCGCCGCCAUACCUUCGUCUGGCGUAUCCGCGCCUCCGCGACAUUUCUUACAGCGCGAUGCCCUAUUCGAUGCGCAGAGGGGAGGAUCGCACCGAAGCAGAUCCCGCUGCCUACAUUAAUGAGCGGGAGUGGGUCCAGCAGGCCCUCGCGCGGCUCGAGAGUGUGCCCGCAGUAGGUGCCCGUGGACCUUCUGCAAGCUACGGCAGCGACAGUAACCGACGACGCCGCUUCGACGCCGGUGCUGGCGGCGGCUCAUCAUCACAUGCGACGCUCACACCACGUAUCCAGGCGGAAGAGGUGGACGUUUUGCGUGAGGGGUUGCCUGACCUGCUGUACCGCUGCGGCAGCACCGAGGCUGUGCUGCUCGACUACUACGCCUUAGCCCCUUAUAUUCUGCUCACCGUGAGCCCUCCGCUGCCGCUGCAGUCGUCCCAUGCGGAGCGCAUUCCGGCCUCUGCUGCGUUGGCGUCGCUGUCGCAAGCCUGUGAAGGGACAAACACGACGGCGCAGAGCCGUGGCGUGCACAUUGCGCCAGACGCACCGUCCCUGCCAUCAUGCUCACCCGGCACAUCUACGAUGCUUACCACGGCACCCCGUCGCACGGUAUUUCGAUUCGCAUCGUCUUCCUUGUCAGCGUCGGCGCCGCCAUUGCCGGUGCCCUCUGCUCACUCUGUGCACAAGAGACCGUGCCUGCGCCCCUGCACGCCCUUGCAGAUGGCGAUUCUGCAGCGUGGCCGCAACCCUGCCACGGCUCAGCUCCGAAGCGACCUUUUUGUGUUGUCCACAGACGGCGUUGGCGACAGGACUGCCGGCGCUGCGACGGAGAGCAGUGCGGAGCGCCCGCUAAUCCCACCCGGGGACGAGAUCGAAGACAUCGACGAGGACUAGGGCCCACAGGUGGGAUCGUGUGGGCGAGGAAGGGGGAUGAAAGUCAGGAUGCGCCGCUGUGGCUGUGCGUAUGCGCCGGUCAAACAAAUUGGAGCGAGAGCGUCAGCAGUGCACGAUACACGACACUCGUAUGGGGUGGAGUGCGAGAGAUACUCACAUGAAACAGGUCUUUUCCACUUCUUUUCGACCGGGGCGAUGGCGAUGAUGGUGAUGUGCUGAGGGAGGGGUACUGCUGCUCCGCAGCUCUCCUCUAGCUCCAUGAAGCUGUGUAGCCGCAGGCCGCUCAGCAAUGCCAAGGUGCGUUUAUCCAUCGCUUUCGGCUAAGCUUCUGAGCAGGUGGAAGAAUGCACACCUAGCGGCAUCCCACGAUUGAUUUGGCCCUCGAUUGUUUGCCUGGCGAACAUUUGG